rnacentral:tRNA from 1 species
CGGCGAGUAGCGCAGCUUGGUAGCGCAACUGGUUUGGGACCAGUGGGUCGGAGGUUCGUAUCCUCUCUCGCCGACCA